GACGAACGCUGGCGGCGUGCUUAACACAUGCAAGUCGAACGGAAAGGCCCUGCUUUUGUGGGGUGCUCGAUUGGCGAACGGGUGAGUAACACGUGAGUAACCUGCCCUUGACUUUGGGAUAACUUCAGGAAACUGGGGCUAAUACCGUAUAGGAUCUCCUGCUGCAUGGUGGGCGUUGGAAAGUUUCGGCGGUUGGGGAUGGACUCGCGGCUUAUCAGCUUGUUGGUGGGGUAGUGGCUUACCAAGGCUUUGACGGGUAGCCGGCCUGAGAGGGUGACCGGCCACAUUGGGACUGAGAUACGGCCCAGACUCGUACGGGAGGCAGCAGUGGGGAAUAUUGCACAAUGGGCGGAAGCCUGAUGCAGCAACGCCGCGUGCGGGAUGACGGCCUUCGGGUUGUAAACCGCUUUCGCCUGUGACGAAGCGUGAGUGACGGUAAUGGGUAAAGAAGCACCGGCUAACUACGUG
rnacentral:rRNA from 1 species